CUGCCAGACUCCUACGGGAGGCAGCAGUGGGGAAUAUUGGGCAAUGGGCGCAAGCCUGACCCAGCGACGCCGCGUGAGGGAAGACGGUCUUCGGAUUGUAAACCUCUUUCAGCAGGGAAGACAAAAGGACGGUACCUGACUAAGAAGCCCCGGCUAACUACGUGCCAGCAGCCGCGGUAAUACGUAGGGGGCAAGCGUUAUCCGGAUUUACUGGGUGUAAAGGGAGCGUAGGCGGUUUAGCAAGUCAGAUGUGAAAUCCGGGGGCUCAACCCCCGAACUGCAUUUGAAACUGUAGGUCUUGAGUAUCGGAGAGGCAGGCGGAAUUCCUAGUGUAGCGGUGAAAUGCGUAGAUAUUAGGAGGAACACCAGUGGCGAAGGCGGCCUGCUGGACGACAACUGACGGUGAGGCGCGAAAGCGUGGGGAGCAAACAGGAUUAGAUACCCCGGUA
rnacentral:rRNA from 1 species